ACACAUGCAAGUCGAACGAAGCAAUUAAAAUGAAGUUUUCGGAUGGAUUUUUAAUUGACUGAGUGGCGGACGGGUGAGUAACGCGUGGAUAACCUGCCUCACACUGGGGGAUAACAGUUAGAAAUGACUGCUAAUACCGCAUAAGCGCACAGUACCGCAUGGUACGGUGUGAAAAACUCCGGUGGUGUGAGAUGGAUCCGCGUCUGAUUAGCCAGUUGGCGGGGUAACGGCCCACCAAAGCGACGAUCAGUAGCCGACCUGAGAGGGUGACCGGCCACAUUGGGACUGAGACACGGCCCAAACUCCUACGGGAGGCAGCAGUGGGGAAUAUUGCACAAUGGGCGAAAGCCUGAUGCAGCGACGCCGCGUGAGUGAAGAAGUAUUUCGGUAUGUAAAGCUCUAUCAGCAGGGAAGAAAAUGACGGUACCUGACUAAGAAGCCCCGGCUAACUACGUGCCAGCAGCCGCGGUAAUACGUAGGGGGCAAGCGUUAUCCGGAUUUACUGGGUGUAAAGGGAGCGUAGACGGCGAAGCAAGUCUGAAGUGAAAACCCAGGGCUCAACCCUGGGACUGCUUUGGAAACUGUUUUGCUAGAGUGUCGGAGAGGUAAGUGGAAUUCCUAGUGUAGCGGUGAAAUGCGUAGAUAUUAGGAGGACACCAGUGGCGAAGGCGGCUUACUGG
rnacentral:rRNA from 1 species